UAGUUUUCUAGAACAUCAAACACAUGCAUAUUCAUCAGCUGCUAUCUAUAUUAGAUUAUCCACGCUUCUGCCUUCUUACAUCAGAGUUGCCCCGGGAAGUCUGAAUUUUCUGGCAAAGUAAGUGUGUGCAGAGCUAGCAGAUACUACUUAAGGCUGACAAACACACUUUGUCAGGGAUUGAAUUGGGCAAGCCAUAUGAAGUUUAGAAAAGGCAUAAUGACUUUAGAUUAACUGGCCAGAAUUGUGGUUUCCAGAGUCUUGGGAAUUCUGAUCCAAAUGUCUUUAGUUAAUUAAACAACCAGUAGGAUAAUCAUGCAAAGAGCAUGGAUUUUGAAAUCAGAGAGGCUUGGAUUCCAACUCCAAUUCUGUCUCAGAUCUGCUUUAAUUCCUUCAUUCUACAAGUA
rnacentral:lncRNA from 1 species